rnacentral:rRNA from 1 species
CCAUCCCGUAAGGCUAAAUACUCCCGAGAGACCGAUAGCGAACCAGUACUGUGAAGGAAAGGUGAAAAGAACCUCGAACAGAGGAGUGAAAAAGACCCUGAAACCAUACGCCUACAAGCGGUCGGAGCCCCUACGUGGGGUGACGGCGUGCCUUUUGCAUAAUGAACCUACGAGUUACUUUUGCCAGCCAGGUUAAUCGAUUCAGUCGAGGAGCCGAAGCGAAAGCGAGUCUUAAUAGGGCGGUAUAAGUUGGCAGGAGUAGACGCGAAACCAAGUGAUCUACCCAUGAGCAGGUUGAAGGUUAGGUAACACUAACUGGAGGACCGCACCGGUAAACGUUGAAAAGUUUUCGGAUGACUUGUGGGUAGGGGUGAAAGGCUAAUCAAACUUGGAGAUAGCUCGUACUCCCCGAAAUGCAUUUAGGUGCAGCCUUCUGAAUAUAUUUAAGAGGUAGAGCGACUGAUAAGAUGCGAGGGCUUCACCGCCUAUCAAGUCUUGAUAAACUCCGAAUGCUUAAAUAUGAAUCAGAGGAGUGAGGGCAUGGGUGCUAAGGUCCAUGUCCGAGAGGGAAAUAACCCAGACCACCGGCUAAGGUCCCGAAAUAACGGCUAAGUUGAAUUAACGAAGUAGAAUUGCAAAGACAGCUAGGAUGUUGGCUUGGAAGCAGCCAUUCAUUUAAAGAGUGCGUAACAGCUCACUAGUCGAGGAGUUCUGCGUGGAUAAUAAUCGGGCAUAAGCCGUUUACCGAAGCUGUGGAAUUGGCAACAAUUGGUAGGGGAGCAUUCCAUGAGCCGCAGAAGGUUUUCCUUGAGGAAUGCUGGAGGUGAUGGAAAAGCAAAUGUAGGUAUAAGUAACGAUAAAGAGGGCGAGAACCCCUCUCGCCGAAAGACCAAGGGUUCCUGAUCAACGCUAAUCGGAUCAGGGUAAGUCGGGCCCUAAGGCGCAGCCGAACGGCGCAGCCGAUGGCAGAAACGGUUAAUAUUCCGUUACUAUGAUACGGAGUGACGAGGAGACGGAGAAGUGACACUCUCGCCUGCUGACGGAAUAGCAGGUUGAACGGAGUAGAUAAUGACAUGGUAGGCAAAUCCGCCGUGACAGUCGAACCGGAUAGUACUGGGCGCCCCCGGGCAACCAGAUAGCAGAGGUAAUCAGGCUCCCGAGAAAAUCCCCUAAACAUAUGCGUAUCAUACCCGUACCCUAAACGGACACACGUGGUUGAGUAGAAAAUACUAAGGCGCUCGAGCGACUCACGGUUAAGGAACUAGGCAAAUUGACCCUGUAACUUCGGGACAAAGGGUCCCUCCCUCCGGGGAGGGCGCAGAGAAUAGGUCCAGGCAACUGUUUAACAAAAACACAGGGCUGUGCGAAAUUGAAAGAUGAAGUAUACAGCCUGACACCUGCCCGGUGCUGGAAGGUUAAGAGGAGAUGUCAUCGCAAGAGAAGCGUUGAAUUGAAGCCCCAGUAAACGGCGGCCGUAACUAUAACGGUCCUAAGGUAGCGAAAUUCCUUGUCGGGUAAGUUC